UUGUUGUUGGGUAGGAUGAGUCUUCGCGGACCGCCGCUGGUGGAAGAACCAUGGGUUAACGUUGCUGUAACUACUAUUGGAGGAGAAGUGGAUGUAGAAAUAGAAUUAUUGGAUGUAAGGAGAGAGUAGAUGAUGAUGCGUUUGAAAUAGAUUAUUGGGUGCGAUCGAUUUGUGCGCAUGUAUUUUAGAAUUUCUGUCUUCUUUCUUCCUUCCCCACAAAUACAAUACUGGUCUUUCCCUCUUUAUUACUACUUAUUCUACUGAAAUCGAAAUUGAAAUUGAAAUUGGAUCUGGGUUAUUGAUGGAGGGUAGGUAGAGAGAGAUGAUAAAAUGAAGUGCAAUUACUUGUAAAAUCAUAAGGGAUGUAAUAAAUCAAUAUAUUAAUGUAAGUUUUUACUAACUAAUUGUACCAUCCUAAGGGAUAUAAUAAAUCAAUAUAUUAAUUUGAG
rnacentral:lncRNA from 1 species